CAGCUGCUUCCUGCCCCUGGGUCAGAUGGGUCAGGUGGAGGGGCCGUGGUUAUCUGCAGGACAUGUUCCCAGUGAAAACAUGACAGCCUACAUUUUAUGUCGCCAUUGAUCUUUAAUCCGAGCCUGCCUCCAGGUUUCCCAUAGAAUCAGGGCUUCCUGGCCCCAAAUGUGAUUCCAGCACCAAAUGAAUGAAGGCGGGGGCUGCUCUUUUCUCAUCUGAAGAGGCUGAAAUUGCUUCGUCCCCGUGAUCAGAGAGGCUGCUCUGCCCGCCCGGGAUCACACAGCCUGCCUCCUUCCUCCAUACGCUCUGCAGCUGCUGCACCAGGACCGGUUUCCCAGUCCCAGGGCUGGUUCCGCUUGGUGAACAGGCAUAGGAUAGUGCUCAGUGUCUGGUCCAGCUGCAUCACCUCACUCAGCCCAGCCAGACACGAGGGGCUGGAAGCGCAGCGCAGGUCCCCCUCCUGUCAGGUCCCUCUGGAACAGUGCCGAGCAGUCAGAGCCUGACUACGAGGACGGAAACCUUCUAGAGCCACACUGUCCAGCUGGUCCUGAAAUGUGGCAAGUGUGCCAGAGAAACUGAAGUUUUAGCUCGGUUUAACUUUAAUUAAUUUCCACUUCUGUACACACAUGGGUGUAGUGGCCACCACACUGGACGGUGUCUAGAAGACCAGCUGCACAGAGCUUUAAACAGAACCAGGCUGAAACCUGUUCCUCCUAGGGAUUCUGACUCAGGUGGGCUUGGGUAGCGCCCGACAUCAUUAUUUUACAAGAUUUCCGAGUGAUUCCAAUUUGCAACCAAGUGCUGAAAUUUACCAGGCUCCAUGAUAUUCUGAAUCAUUCUACCCUGUAACAAGCAGUGCCCUGUGCAUAUGGUAGCAGGUAUUGUAGGUGCCUCAUUCAACACCCCCCCAUUCUCUUUAUCCCUCACUUUCUUCUACUGUACAGACCAGAAAGCUAAGUACUUGAUUUCUCUAAUGGCUAUGCAACCAGAAAUGGUCAGGGGUUACUGUUCUGGCCAAAAAAAUAGAAGAAUUCUAUUAGUAGCUUUCCAUUGUCCUUCUUCUUGCCUGGAGUGAAAGUAGAUGUCUAGAGCUAUGGCAACCAUUGUACACCAUGAGGUAAGAUAGGAGAUUACACCAGGAGAUUUGGGAACAUCCUUGCUACCAUUGUGAUACUGAGUCAAACCCAGCAGUUACCUACUUCUGGACUUUUUGUCCUGGGAAAAAAAUAGAACUUAUUUGCCUAAAUUAUUCUAGUUCUGUUUUCUGUCUUUUAUACUCUAAAGGAUUUCUAAUGCAGCUAUCUUAUAAUUUUCUUGAGAUUACUGUAAAGAUUAAACAUGUUAAUGUAUGUGAAACUACUUUGCAAACCUUAAAGCAUUCAGCAAAUAGAUCAUGUUUGGAUUUGUCUUGGAAAUGUUGUCAAUCUCCACUUUAGGCAAGGCAUCCAAAGCAUGCUAUUCCAGGUCAAGCUGAGGGCAGUUUGGGUGAGGGGAGAGAGAGGGAGAGUUCUUAGAAUAAGGUGACUUCUCCUAGCUUGCCCAGGACAUUCCUGGCUUUAGCACUGAAAGUCUGUGUCCCAGGAAACCUGUCAGUCAGUCCUGGGAAAGCCAGGGUAGUUUGUCACCCUGCCUGGAAGCCUGGGGCCAGGAGACCUACCUUCCCCACAGGAUAUCAGCUCUCGGAGCAGGGUGCUAGCUGACCCCACAAGGCCUGGCCACGUCUCACUGAACAAUCUAUCAGCUGAAACACUCCGAGCCAGAACAUGCUCCCCUCAGCAUUUCAGCCGUGGUUGCUGGUGAUAAAUUCCUGGCUCUGAGCAAAGCUCACACUCUUCCCUCUGAGCCUCCACUCUUUCUUCCUCAGAAGGAGGUAGUGUGGGGGAACUGGCCCUCAGGGGAGGCACAGCUGGCCUGGACAGGUGCCCAGCGGCUCACACAGUGCCUGCCCAGAUCCAGCUUUCCCCACCCUAGUGUCCCUCACCCCAGGUGAAAUACAUGUGGCUGGCCUUUGGUAUCAUUCCUGUUCUCUAGAACUGACUGCUUUGUUCACAUUUGGGUUGCCCUUCCUCUGCCUCCUCAAUUUCAUUCCAGCUGGAUAUUUCCCUGCCAGCAAGCAGAGUAGUCUUCUCUUGUCUGUGGUUUUACGUUCCAAAGUUUCAGUUAUCUGUG
ensembl:lncRNA